ensembl:snRNA U6 U6 spliceosomal RNA
GUGCUCACUUCAGCAGCACAUAUACUAAAAUUGGAACAAUACGGAGAUUACACGGUCCCUGUGCAGGGAUGACACACAAAUUGAUGAAGCAUUCCACAGAUAU